GGGGGCGGCGGAGCGGGGACAGCGACACAGCCGGAGAGGGCUCCAGCGAGCCGCAGCGGCGACAUCGACCGGCCCGGCUGCCGGAGGGGCUCUCCCCGCAUCCCCCCAUCCCGGCCGGGUUCGCUGUCCGUCCGUGCCCGGGCAGGGAUGGGCUGCAGGUCCUGGAGCGGGGAACAGGCUUUGGGAGCGGCGCGGGGAGGCGACAUCGCGGCAAGGAGCCUUUGCGGGGGAGGGAGGGUGGGCAGAAAUGUCCCUGCUCAUCACCCGUGCCCCUCUCCUGCCCUGGGUAAGAGGAGCAUCUCCCAUUCAUCUCCCUCUUCAUCCCCCACCCCGGUCCCCCCGCCCGCCUUCCUUCUCGGCGCUUCCAGGCUCUCUGUAUGGAAAUCACGAGCUGGCUGGGUGGAAAAAUCUCCCUUUUUUUCGCGUGGUAGCUCUGGAAUGUGUGCGGAAUCUAAAGGUGUGCGGGGGAGAGGGAGGCAGCGCCAGCAUUUAUGGAGCUUGGUGUGUGUGUGUGUGUCCCCCCACUACGCCCCGUCCCUCUCCUCCAUCCUUGCCGUGAGCAGACACUCAUUCAUGGAUAAUAAAAACGCUUUUCCCUGUGUAUAACUGGGCUGAGAGCUACGCUGAAAGCCAGUCCGUGUUCGAGAACAGCCUGCAGAUCAACAAGGAGCUUUGGCAUCCCUGCAGCGUAGCCCGGCUGUGCUCACCUCAUGCUUCCCCAGGAUCAGUAAGCACACGAACCAUACCGAUUAUGUGAUGUAUACGCUGGGCAGUGUGGGGUGAUCACACCAGCCCUUGUCUGCUGUGCUACGUGUGGUCUUCAAAAGAGAUGGUAAUUUCUGUGGAGCUUUUUGAUCAAGAAAGUUUCUGUCUUCUCUCCAUUGCCUCUGUAAGCACCAGUUCAUGUCCGUUGGCCAGUCUGGCAGUUUUAUGUUUCCAGAGUCUGUUGAGAAAUAUUCUGAUACCACAGAAACCCAGGAUUCCUCUGACAUCACGUUGGUUUGUUCCUGUCAGCGUGUUUAAUCAUUUUUAUGCUAAAUGAGCUGAUCUUGGCAACGAUUUGCUCUGCUUGGGGUUUUAUUGACUUUCUCGUUAGCAAGGAGGUGAGAAAAGGAUUGAAGGAAGGAUAUUCCAGAAAAAAAAAAAAAUGCAGUGUCCAUUUCGAGGGAUGUGAACACGUUAAAUAUGUAGGCAUAGGUAUGAUGCCUUAUGUAGUUAUAAAAACGAAAGACAUGCCAUCUUGCCUCUUUGCCUCAGAAUAUGAUUUCUCUCACAGCAACAAGUAGCACAGGCUCUUCUCUCCCCUUUUCUCCUCCCCUUCAGCCCCUCCUGACAAAAUGCCAGUUAUAAAGGUCAGCCUGUUUAUGUAAAGACUGUGUGUCUCUUAACAAAGCCUGCUGCGCAUCAAGCCUGCAACGACUAUCAAACAGACUUGGGAUUCAAGACACUCAAUAAGAGCACUGUCCAUUUUCCAGGACUGAUGAAAUCCCGGGGAAAGCAGAAGACAAAGAGCCGUAGUGUGUGGCCGGGGUAGGUCACCAGCGCCAGGGUGUGCACAUGGGCAGCAGCGUCCUCAUGGCAGUGUUUGGUGCUGCAAAUGUUCCCAAGACCCACUGGAGCUGUAGAUACCUGUAUAUGUGUGUGUGUGUGUGAGAGAGAGAGAGACUGUAUAAAAAGAGAUUUGCUGAUAUGCUAAUGCUUU